rnacentral:tRNA from 1 species
GGAGGGAUGGCAGAGCUGGCCGAUCGCGGCAGCCUUGAAAGCUGUUGAGGGCGUAUGCCCUCCGGGGGUUCGAAUCCCUCUCCCUCCGCCA